CCAGCAGGAUCAGCAUCAGCUAUGCUAGGGGUGGGACCUGGCAAUCUGUGAUUUAACGAGCCUUGCAGGUGAUUCCAAUGUGCCCCUAAGCAUGAGGGCACUGCUCGAGACCUGUGCUUUCAGGAAUCACUAACCACAUAAGCCUGUUUCAAUUUAAAUUAGUCAAAUUUAAAGGAAACUAAACAUUCAAGCUCUUCCGUCACACCAGCCACCUUUCAAAUGUUCAGUGGCCACCCAAUUGGACAGCAUAGAUCUAGAACAUGGCCAUCAUCACAGAAAGUUCUAUUGGGUUGCGAUACUCUAGAACCUUGCUACUUCCUGUGGUCCACAGACAUCAGCAUUGGCAUCACCUAGGAGUUGCUUAGAAAUGCAGAACUCAGGCUCCAUCCCAGAACUUCUGAUUCAGAGUCUGCUUUUUUGCCAGAAACCCAGGUGCCAGAUUGCCCUGCAGCUUCCAGUUUGGCUGAACGAUACAAAAUUGUUGAUAAUUCAACUGUUUUUUGACCUAUAAAGCGGCAAACAGCAAGAUCCUUCCCAAAACAGGAGUAGAAGAAGUGGGAGUGUUUUUCUAGGACCAUCAGAUAUGGGUGAUAAGACUCAGCCUGAUAAUGUGAUAAGACGCCUGAACACCUUUCAGUAAGGUGAACAUGAACUUUGGAAUGGUGACCUUACGCCAGGUACUGUGAAACCUUGAGGGUGUGCCCAGGGGAUUAAUGAUGCCAGAGGACUCCCCUGAUUGAUGGCUUAUUUGAAGGUGGCCUCCCCUCCCACCCACCUCACUCCAAGCUCCGCUAGGGAGGAAAUGAAAGCAUAGCCCCUCAGGGAGCUCAGCCCUUUACAGCCCUCCGCAAAUGUGUGGGAUUCUGGCUCAAACACUAGGGACAGUAAACCACUAUAAUCUCCUUGUCACAGUAGGGGACAUGCCUGAGACAAAUGUGGGGUCUGUUGCCCCACUCCGAGCCUCUCUCUUUCUUCUCAACAGUACCAUUCUUACUCCUCUUUGGCUCAAGGAUACAUUCCUCUGCUCUGGGAAGGAAGGAAGGAAGGAAGGAAGGAAGGAAGGAAGGAAGGGGAGGGGAACAGAUAUUCAGACAUCCUAUUUUGUCUGAAUGAGACAAAAAGAGAGGAAGAAAGAAAGAAAGAAAGAGGAAGGGGAGAGAGAGGGAGAAAGAAAGAGAGAGGAAGGAAGAGAGAGGAAGGGAGAGAGGGAGGAAGGAAG